UACGUAGGGGGCUAGCGUUGUCCGGAAUCAUUGGGCGUAAAGCGCGUGUAGGCGGCCCGGUAAGUCCGCUGUGAAAGUCCAGGGCUCAACCCUGGGAUGCCGGUGGAUACUGUCGGGCUCGAGUCCGGAAGAGGCGAGUGGAAUUCCUGGUGUAGCGGUGAAAUGCGCAGAUAUCAGGAGGAACACCAAUGGCGAAGGCGGCUCGCUGGGACGUGACUGACGCUGAGACGCGAAAGCGUGGGGAGCAAACAGG
rnacentral:rRNA from 1 species